ensembl:lncRNA
AUGGAGUCCUUCAUAAUCUUCCUGUUUGUGAUUUCUGGCUCUGUAGCCCUGCAGCAGAAUCUGCAGGCGAAGCUUGGAGAUGACGUCACUCUCCAGUGUCAGAUUACCACAGAUGAAAUAAUCUCAGUGCUGAAGUGGAGCAGACCUGACCUGAACACAGACGGCUACGUCUACUUCUACAGGAACAAACGCUUCUAUGAAAACUACCAACAUCCAUCUUUUCAUGGAAGAGUGAAGCUGAGGGACCCGGAGAUGAAGGAUGGAGACGUUUCUGUGAUCCUGAACAACGUCACGUUUAAUGACACUGGGAUGUAUGAGUGUCACGUAGUAGUGAGGAACCCUGGGAGAAGUAAAAGAGUUCACACUGAGAUCAGUCACUUCAUUGACUUCACAGUCACAGGUGAGUUUGUGGAGCUCACACUCAGCUCCCACAUCAUAAAAACCUCAAAACAUAAAAGUGUGAAAUUAUAAACUAAAAAUCUAAACCUGCUUACUGCUAGUAUUUCUCUACAGAAACUGCAUGAUUAUUUGUGACUCGGCAAAUAGACAAACAAAAGCCAGUGAGCUAAAAUUUAUCCACAGCUUCUUCUGCUCAAUUCUUUCAGUGUUAAGUGUGAAGGGGGAAAGGCAUGCUGCUAACUCAGAUGCUAAACAUUAAACCACUGUUUACAGCUGAUGUUCUCUCUGCAGGUGAAACAGAUGAAAAGUUGUUGCAGCAGAGACUCGUGGAAAGUGAAGCUGGAAAAGUACAGGAUGUAACUCCGACUGUUAUAAUGGUUGUUUGUUAUGUUGCGGUUGCUGUUAUUGUUGUUGGUUUUCUGACAUUAUUCAUAUUUAAAAGAAUUCAGUUAAAAGGACUAGAUGUUACAGUCCCUGAUAAUGCAUUGCUUUAGAUGGAGAGACUCUUGAGGGACGGCUGCUAUGAGGAAAGGCAGCCCAGAAACUUUGCAAGCAGCACAUGUCGUUGUUGCCUCAACUUUCGGUCUUUUACCCAGGCUAAUCUGCCAUUUUCCUUCCUUGGUUAGGUUUAGGGAUUAGAGAUCGAUCUAGAUAUCAUAUUAUGAUUUGGGACACAUCAUCAGUAGUGGACCUUGGAUUCAUCAGGUGUUUCGGCCAUUAUCAUUAGACACCCUAAUCAAGGAGGCCCUGCCAGGGUUGAUCAGGCCCUGGAGUCACUGGUUUAUGUUAAAUUGUUAUUUCUCUUCUUCUUUCUUCUGUUUAGUUUCCUACAGUUUAUUUUCUAUCUAUUCACUGCAACUGAGAAAUAAUGCUUACCUCUUUAGCAUUUAUGGAGCACUACUUCUUCAAAGGGAUAGAAAAGGUGAUACAGAGAAAUAAGACAAAAGGGACAAGAUAGGAGCGAGCAGAGAGGAGAGCUGGAAGGGGGGCGCCUGAUCUGGCUUCCCACACCUCCCCGCUGGAUUGGGCUGUACGCUCUACCUCCCCACUGCCUCCCAGAAAAUGGGAGAAGAGCAGAAUAUUUCUUUUCUCUCGUGGUUAGCUGACUGCCGUAGCUGCCCAAGUGUUGUCAGCCUGCAGUUGUGCCUGUCCUCUGAUUCCAAUCUCUCUAAGCAGUUUUGCUGUUGUACUGGCAACAAAGCCCCUGCACCCCACUUCCACCAGGCACACCUUGAUCUUCCAGCCUCUGUCCUCUGCCUCAGCUGCCAAGUUGGCAUACCUCAGCUUCUUACGCUCAAAUGCCUCCUCAAUUGCUUCCUCCCCUGGUACCGUCAGCUCAAUGAUGUACGCAAGUUUUUGGGAGUUAGACCAAAGGGCGAGGUCUGGUCGCAGAGUAGUUGUUACGAUCUCUGUGGGAAAAAUUAGCCUCUGAUCCAAAUCCACUUUUAUCUGCCAAUCCCAGAUGCAGCUUCCAGUCUGGAGUAAGAGGAAGUCGAUUUAACAUGUCCAGAAAUAUGAUUUUAUAAAAAGAAACAUUACAGAUUUGAUGAACUAACAUUGAUAGCGACUUUGCCAGGCAGCUAAGCAACAUGGACUUCUAGUUUAAAAGUGAAAAAUAAGAAAUAAAAAAACUGUUCUGUGGUUAUCAAAAACACAACAGCUCUGCAAACUCCUCAAAUAAACAGCAAAUUCAGCCUGGAGCUUCUCACUGAAAAUAAACAUAAUAAAAUAAAUAGAAAAUUCUGAAAAAAAAAUCACAAAAAAUGCUUCUGAUUGGUGCUAAAAAAGGAUUCAGACUGUAAAAGUUACUGAAUUGUGCAAUAACUUGUUUGUUGUUUGUGUGCUGUCAUCAGUCUGUGUUUGAUGUUGAUCCAGGAUAAUGUGAACCAACGAUCCUUGUAUCGUCACCAGAGUUUGCACAAAGUCGUAUGGUGCUGUUUAAUAACAAAUGUGUGUUUAGCUCAGUGUCAAUGUCCUUUGCACGAGUGGUCAACUGCUGCUUUGAACUCUUUUGAUCUAUUUUUUUGUAAACGCUGUAUACUGGUUUGUACUGGUUUCUGUCUGUUGUGUAGUAACUGCUCACCUGCACAUCUGCCCUAAUUACCAGUAUGAGGUUCAGAAAUGUCUUGGCCAUCAAAUUAUUAAUUAAUAAAAAAAAGAAUAAAAACUGAAAAAGGAAACAUGAAAUGUGUCACAACUUUCUUUCAGAUGUGUUUGGUGUCAGUGAUCAUGUCCCGGAAUGAAUGGGGAAGUUUGUAUGACUCAUUACUGUUGACAUUGAUGAUUGAUGUGAUAUUUUUAUGCUUCAGUGGUUAAUGAGGGGAGUUUGUGGGCUGUAACAGAUGUAACGUUCUCUCUCUUUCUCUUUUUGCUCCCUGCACACAUCCAUCAGUGUGGGUGAAGUCUCUGCACUGUCUCUAAGAUGUUGUCACAGAUGAGUUGUCUCAAGUCCUCCUGAUUACAUUUCUAAUUCCUGCAUCUACAUGUGAUUGACACUGAAUUGUUUAUUUAUUUACUAUAAUUCAGAGUAAUCUUGUAAACUUGUUUAUUUUUGUGUAUUCUUUUGCACACAUAGUCAGACAAAAAUAAGCAGUGUGCCUACACACCCGUAACUGUCUGCAGUUCUUUGCAACAAUGUGUUGCUGCAGUGAAAUGAACAAACAAAUCUAUCAUAUCUAUCUAUAGCUCAUCAAUCUAUUUUUGCACCAGAGGUUGUGUAGUCAGGCAUGCUAUUACUUGUUGAGCCCAUGAAAAAAAUACUAAAUCUUGUCUGCCAAACAGUUUGUUCUGCUCUUGUUUGGUGUCAUUUAUUUGGUCCAGUUAAAGGGAAAUAAACAGGCUUUCCAACAUUAAAAGAUUUACUGCCAAGAAGGAUUUUUACAACAAAGAAAUCAUCAACCAAACACAAAUUUCCUUCUGUGCUAACUUUAUGUGGUGUAAAUAUUACUAGGGUGACCUACUGUGACACCACAGCCGGGAGGACACAC